UACAGAGGUCCCAAGCGUUGUUCGGAUUCACUGGGCGUAAAGGGUGCGCAGGUGGGUUUGCAAGUUCGAUGUGAAAGCCCCGGGCUUAACCCGGGAAUGGCAUUGGAUACUGCAGAUCUGGAGGAUCGGAGGGGGGGGACUGGAAUUCUUGGUGUAGCAGUGAAAUGCGUAGAUAUCAAGAGGAACACCAGUGGCGAAGGCGAGUCCCUGGACGAUACCUGACACUGAGGCACGAAGCUAGGGAGCAAACAGG
rnacentral:rRNA from 1 species